rnacentral:rRNA from 1 species
GAUGAACGCUGGCGGCGUGCCUAAUACAUGCAAGUCGAGCGAACAGACGAGGAGCUUGCUCCUCUGACGUUAGCGGCGGACGGGUGAGUAACACGUGGAUAACCUACCUAUAAGACUGGGAUAACUUCGGGAAACCGGAGCUAAUACCGGAUAAUAUAUUGAACCGCAUGGUUCAAUAGUGAAAGACGGUUUUGCUGUCACUUAUAGAUGGAUCCGCGCCGCAUUAGCUAGUUGGUAAGGUAACGGCUUACCAAGGCAACGAUGCGUAGCCGACCUGAGAGGGUGAUCGGCCCACCUGAACCUGAGCCGCGUCCCGGCCCCCAAGGGGGGGCCGCGGUGGGAAUUCUUCCGCAAGGGGCGAAACCCUGAGGGACAACCCCCGGGUGGGUGAGGAGGUUUUUCGGUUCGAAAACCUCUUUUUUAGGGGAAAAAAAAAUUUUAAAGUAACUUUCCCCGUUUGGACGUUCCCAAACCAAAAGCCCCCGCCAACCUCCGU